rnacentral:rRNA from 1 species
GAUGAACGCUGGCGGCGUGCCUAAUACAUGCAAGUCGAGCGAAGCGGGGACAGGUGAGUAACACGUAGGGAAAUUACUAUAAAGAUGGGGUAAAUUCGGGAAACCGGAGCUAAACCGGAAACUGAUAGAAGGAUCUACGUUGCAUUAGGUAGUGGGUAAGGUAACGGCUUACCAAGGCAACGAUGCAUAGCCGAUCUGAGUGGGUGAUCGGCCACACUGGAACUGAGACACGGUCCAGACUCCUACGGGAGGCAGCAGUAGGGAAUCUUCCGCAAUGGGCGAAAGCCUGACGGAGUAACGCCGCGGUAGUGAUGAAGGUCUUCGGAUCGUAAAACUCUGUUAUUAGGGAAGCGGUACCUAAUCAGAAAGCCACGGCUAACUACGUGCCAGCAGCCGCGGUAAUAC